GUCUAAGCAGAGCCCUUGAAUGGUAAAGCCGCGAAUGGCUCAUUACAACAGCCACAGUUUAUUGGGUCUCCAUUUACUUGGAUAACUGAGCUAAUUGUUGAGCUAAUACACGCACCAAAGCUUCGACCUCACGGGAGGAGCGCAUUUAUUAGAACAAAACCAAUCGGACUUCGGUCCGUCCAUUGGUGAAUCUAAAUAACUUAGCCGAUCGCAUGGUCUCGCACCGGCGACUCACCUUUCAAAUGUCUGCCUUAUCACCUUUCGAUGGUAGUUUAUACGCCUACCAUGGGUUUUACGGGUAACGGAGAAUAAGGGUUCGACUCCGGAGAGGGAGCCUGAGAAACGGCUACCACAUCCAAGGAAGGCAGCAGGCACGCAAAUUACCCACUCCCGGCACGGGGAGGUAGUGACGAAAAAUAACGAGGCGGUUCUCUAUGAGGCCCGCCAUCGGAAUGGGUACAAUCUAAA
rnacentral:rRNA from 1 species